ensembl:lncRNA
UAGACAUGUCUGUGCAGUGGUGAACCUAUAGGUCUUCAGUGGUGAACCUAUAGGUCUUCAGUGGUGAACCUAUGGGUCUUCCGUGGUGAACCUAUGGGUCUUCAGUGGUGAACCUAUGGGUCUUCAGUGGUGAACCUAUGGGUCUUCAGUGGUGAACCUAUAGGUCUUCAGUGGUGAACCUAUUGGACCUAGGUCUUCAGUGGUGAACCUAUUGGACCUAGGUCUUCAGUGGUGAACCUAUAGGUCUUCAGUGGUGAACCUAUGGGUUUUCAGUGGUGAACCUAUAGGUCUUCAGUGUGUGACAGUGGUGAACCUAUAGGUCUUCAGUGGUGAACCUAUAGGUCUUCAGUGGUGAACCUAUGGGUUUUCAGUGGUGAACCUAUAGGUCUUCAG